rnacentral:rRNA from 1 species
CCUACGGGAGGCAGCAGUGGGGAAUAUUGCACAAUGGGCGCAAGCCUGAUGCAGCGACGCCGCGUGAGGGAUGACGGCCUUCGGGUUGUAAACCUCUUUCAGUAGGGAAGAAGCGUAAGUGACGGUACCUGCAGAAGAAGCGCCGGCUAACUACGUGCCAGCAGCCGCGGUAAUACGUAGGGCGCAAGCGUUAUCCGGAAUUAUUGGGCGUAAAGAGCUCGUAGGCGGUUUGUCGCGUCUGCCGUGAAAGUCCGGGGCUCAACUCCGGAUCUGCGGUGGGUACGGGCAGACUAGAGUGAUGUAGGGGAGACUGGAAUUCCUGGUGUAGCGGUGAAAUGCGCAGAUAUCAGGAGGAACACCGAUGGCGAAGGCAGGUCUCUGGGCAUUAACUGACGCUGAGGAGCGAAAGCAUGGGGAGCGAACAGGAUUAGAUACCCUGGUAGUCCAUGCCGUAAACGUUGGGCACUAGGUGUGGGGGACAUUCCACGUUUUCCGCGCCGUAGCUAACGCAUUAAGUGCCCCGCCUGGGGGAGGUACGGCCGCGAGACGUAAACUACGAAGAAGUAGUACGGCGUGAGACGUGCCGACGGACGACGACGAGGGAGAGG